GUAAGAAGCUGUAAACGGAGCCAUUGACCAAUCCGUCUUCACUCGCCCUCCUUGUGUUGCCCAGUCAUCAGCAUUCCAUAAACUGGCAUAAACUCUCAUUGCUUGGUUCUUUGGGAAUGCAACACCAAGCUUUUCGUGGUUGUUGAAUACUCUUAUUGGGAUAUUAUCCACCAAAAAUCUGGGCAGUUAGAAAAAGAAAAAUCCCCCAAAUGUCAGACAUAAGCACCAAGUAAGUUGUUUUUAGACUUCAAUUAAAGUUCAAUUAGUAACAUACAUGAUGCGUUGAGAGUUCCAAACAAUAGAG
rnacentral:misc_RNA from 1 species